rnacentral:rRNA from 1 species
UACGUAGGGCGCAAGCGUUAUCCGGAAUUAUUGGGCGUAAAGAGCUCGUAGGCGGUUUGUCGCGUCUGCCGUGAAAGUCCGGGGCUCAACUCCGGAUCUGCGGUGGGUACGGGCAGACUAGAGUGCGGUAGGGGAGACUGGAAUUCCUGGUGUAGCGGUGAAAUGCGUAGAUAUCUGGAGGAACACCGGUGGCGAAGGCGGCAUCCUGGACCAAUAUUGACGCUGAGGAGCGAAAGCCAGGGGAGCAAACGGG